CCGCCCUUAGCUCAGUUGGAUAGAGCAACAGCCUUCUAAGCUGUAGGUCACACGUUCUUAUUACAGGUUGAUCCA
rnacentral:tRNA from 1 species